UACAGAGGUCUCAAGCGUUGUUCGGAAUCACUGGGCGUAAAGCGUGCGUAGGCUGUUUCGUAAGUCGUGUGUGAAAGGCGCGGGCUCAACCCGCGGACGGCACAUGAUACUGCGAGACUAGAGUAAUGGAGGGGGAACCGGAAUUCUCGGUGUAGCAGUGAAAUGCGUAGAUAUCACGCAGAACUCCGAUUGCGAAGGCAGCUUACUAAGCCAUAACUGACACUGAAGCACGAAAGCGUGGGGAUCAAACAGG
rnacentral:rRNA from 1 species